ACUCAAAUGAAUAGACGGGGGCCCGCACAAGCGGCGGAGCAUGCGGCUUAAUUCGAUGCAACGCGAAGAACCUUACCUGGGUUUGACAUGCAGGGUGAAACCGUUGAAAGACGGCGCUCUUCGGAGCCUGCACAGGUGGUGCAUGGCUGUCGUCAGCUCGUGCCGUGAGGUGUUGCCUUAAGUGGCGCAACGAGCGCAACCCCUGUCCUUAGUUGCCAGCGGAUCAUGCCGGGAACUCUAGGGAGACUGCCGGUGCCAAACCGGAGGAAGGUGGGGAUGACGUCAAGUCAGCAUGCCCCUUAUACCCAGGGCUGCACGCAUGCUACAAUGCGUGGUACAGAGGGCUGCGAUCCCGCAAGGGGGAGCGAAUCCCAAAAAGCCACGCUCAGUUCGGAUCGAGGUCUGCAACCCGACCUCGUGAAGUCGGAGUCGCUAGUAAUCGCAGAUCAGCAUUGCUGCGGUGAAUACGUUCCCGGGCCUUGUACACACCGCCCGU
rnacentral:rRNA from 1 species